UAAAUUCCCAAGGGCUUCCAAAACUACCAAAACUAAUGUCUUUCUCAAUAUUGUCUUGCAAACGAAACAUAAACUUGAUAAUCUUCAAACGCCAAUCCUCAUUUACUUGAUGAUAGUUACAUGCUGCAAUUUCAAUCAUGUCCUUUUCUUUAAGAGCCUCAACGUAAACAACCGAAAAUCUAUUGAUGAACGACCUCGGUAAGCCUUUCCUACCGCCACCCUGAUGCUGUGGAUUUUGGGCAGCGAAAACUCGAAAAUUCGGAUGAGCUUUAAACACCUUGUCUAAUUCCGGUAUAUAAGCUUCAUUACGAUGAUCAAGACAAGCAUUUAAGCCUUCCAAGACUGACUGUGAAGCUAAAUUUAAUUCAUCAAGCAACACCCAAUGACCAUUACGCAUCGCUGCCAAAAAAGGAGCAUCACGCCAAGCAAACUGCCCUCCUUCACCACCUUCCACAGGAACGUCUGAGCCGAAAAGAUCCAUCAAAUCUGUUUGAUCAGACAAAUUUAUACGCACCAGUUGAUGUCCUGUUUCACGAGCAAGUGCUGUAAUAAGACUGGUUUUGCCAACUCCAGGACUACCUUCCAGUAAAAUAGGUUUCAGAACCUGCAGAGCCCUCAAAACCUUGGAAGCGUUCAUUAAAGUAGUAUCU